GAACUGAAGAGUUUGAUCAUGGCUCAGAUUGAACGCUGGCGGCAGGCCUAACACAUGCAAGUCGAGCGGCAGCACGGGUACUUGUACCUGGUGGCGAGCGGCGGACGGGUGAGUAAUGCCUAGGAAUCUGCCUGGUAGUGGGGGAUAACGCUCGGAAACGGACGCUAAUACCGCAUACGUCCUACGGGAGAAAGCAGGGGACCUUCGGGCCUUGCGCUAUCAGAUGAGCCUAGGUCGGAUUAGCUAGUUGGUGAGGUAAUGGCUCACCAAGGCGACGAU
rnacentral:rRNA from 1 species